UACAGGGGGGGCAAGCGUUGUUCGGAAUUACUGGGCGUAAAGGGCUCGUAGGCGGCCGGCUAAGUCCGACGUGAAAUCCCCAGGCUUAACCUGGGAACUGCGUCCGAUACUGGAUGGCUUGAGUUUGGGAGAGGGAUGCGGAAUUCCAGGUGUAGCGGUGAAAUGCGUAGAUAUCGGGAGGAACACCGGUGGCGAAGGCGGCCCCCUGGUUGGAUACUGACGCUGAGACGCGAAAGCGUGGGGAGCAAACAGG
rnacentral:rRNA from 1 species